AACUAUUCACAAGGCAAGGCAAUCAGGUUCGACAAUGCACAAAACUGUCCCAAAAACUAGGACUGAACCAGACCUGGCCUUUCAGAACUACAACUUGCCCGACUAAAGGCAGCCAAGAAGGUGAAAGGAAGAAUACAUCCACAAAUUGGGCACCAGAUGGGGGGCUUAAGGUUAAAACCAAAAUCAUACGAAUCUCUACACAGUAACUCGCACUAAGAGAUCCUUCACCAAACCUGCAAGCAGAUUUUUUAAAGGAGCUAAUAACACGAAAGCUGGUACAAAACAG
rnacentral:misc_RNA from 1 species